UAGGAGAGAGCGAGAGCGAGAUUGAGGAAGAGGAGGGAGAGAGUUUUGGCGUCGGCCGCCCUUGGGUGCUGGGCCCCAACAGUGGGCCGCCGCCCGCCUGAGCAGUGUCGGGUCCGGCCCCGCUUGGCCAGGCCUGCACCCGGCCUGCUGGUCUCCGGGUCUCCCCACCCCGGCACCCUCCGAAUGUGGAUGCCCCAAAGCAGUGAGCGCCCCUGUGGGCAAGGGUCAGCACGGAUGCGAGAGUCCCUGGUUGCUGUGGGUGCAUGCUUAAGGAGCAGGUGGGGGAAAGGAGUGAUGAGAGAGUCACCCUCCCCUUGGCGACAUUAGCUCAGCUGCCCAGAAAGCCUGGUGCUUAUCUCCUAAGGCCCAGAGAGGCAGCCACUAGCCUCCGGUCACACCACCAGCGUCCUGAGGCUCCGAGCCUGCUCGCCCCGCCACCUCUUUCCUCGCCCGUCCUCGCCUGCUCCCAGAUGGUCUCCAGAGGAGAGUCUGGACCUCGGAAUUUACUGGACUUGGGGUUCCUCUGCCUCCUGCCCCACUUUGCCUCAACCUUCAGGGCCAGCUCUCGGGCUGCCCGCUCCAGGAAGCCUGCCAGGACUUGCUCCCCCCACCAGAACAGCUGUCACCUUCCUGCCCAGAGAGGGGAAGUGACCCAGCCAGGAUCACUCAGCAAGGGCACAGGCAGGAGCUCAACCUCCUGGAUCACGCUGCUCCUACAUCCCACACACCAGCCCCAGGCAGCCAGGCACGCUUCCAGAGAGGAACAGCACCAGACACUGUUUUGAGCAAUCCCCUGAAGAAGCAGAUGUGAUCCCUGAGACAGACCUCAAACAAGAGAACCAAAGAGAACAGGUUCUGAUGCCCAGGGAGGAGAGCAGUGGAUUUCCUGGGGCAGGCCUCUGGGGUGCCCAGCCAGCAGAGGGAGGCCGGACUGGGCCCUGCGUGCUCUCCUGGGCAUUCGCCAAGGCCUUGGCCCCAGCCCAGCCUCCAGCCAGAGUCUGUCCCAGGGCUGUCACUAGGCAGCCUCCAGAUCCUCAGCCCGCCCUGGGGCGUCCCCUGCUCCCCGAUGGAUAGAGUCAUCUGCCAAGGGGGAUCCCUGCCCCGGAGAAACUGGGAACUUGUGACACUUCCUGGGAGAGUUUUUAAAAAUCCUUAAAAACCACCCUCUCUCUUCCUGGCCCCAGGGCACCCUGGGGAACUGCCCAACCUCCUGGGGAGUCCCCAGCCCAGCCCACCUGAGUGAGUUUUUCAGAAAGAGAUGCGAUUUUCCCUGGCCAUCCCCGCUGCACACCCAGCUGAGCCCUCUCCUCGGAGCCCCGGGCCCUUCUGGGCCCGUUGUCCCCAUUCUCUGGAUAAGACCUCGAGGUGACCCGGGCAGACCCUGACUGCUAAGAGGGGGCAGUCCCUCAGGGCCUGACAGUUGUCCCAGGCAGACUGGAGGCAUCCCAGCCUCACGCCCCACCAAGUUGUGGUCCCAGGGGGUCUCUGAGGUCCAUUCCUCACCCGGGCCCACAGUAGCCCACUGGGAGUGGCUGGUGGCCUGCCCGAGUCACCUGGAGGCCAAGGGAGCUGGCCCGGGACAGAGGCCUGAGAAGCUGGGUGACAGGUUGAACCAAGUGGGGUGGGGUCAGCCGCACUUCAAGUUCAGGCCAAGCGGGGUUCUGGAGGCUCCUGGGCCCAGCACCCCAAAGUGCUGGCAAACACACCUGCAUGAAUGGCACAGACAGGAGGCUGCGUGGACCCUACACCUUGGGCCUCUGUCUUGGGGCUGUGCAAAGGGGCAGGGAGCAUCUGGCUCCCAGGGGGCCGGGGGCAGUCAGUGACCUGGGCUCUCAAGUCUCAGGCCCAGGGCUGGGCGCCCAUGGCUGUGGUCGCCGUUGGGACACAGCCCCUUCCUGGCUGGUGGCCUUGCUCCUGAACCUUCCCUGCCUGGGCCGGGGGCUCAGAAAUGCCCUGGGAGCUGGGGGCAGGGGCAGUGGAAGUGCUGGGGGCUGCCCCUCCUGGAGGAAGUGAAAGGGGAACGAGCAGGAGGGGAGGGAGGUGUUGGGAGCGUGCCGGCGGGUGGGGCCAGGGCUGACUCACAGCCACAGCUCACCCACCUCAGGGUGCAGCCCGGCCACCCCGUCCACAGGAGGACGAGGGGAGGACAGAGUCCCCGAGGGCCCACCGCGAGCGGAGCCAAGCCGAGCCUGUGUCACCACGCAGAAAGUUCACCCCGCCCCACCCCGGCCAGGCAGGAAUCUCCCCAUUUCUCAGACAAGCCAACUGAGACCAGUGAGAGCCAGAGACCCGGCCUAGCAGUUAAUAGCCUGCGAUUCUCAGAACGCACCAGAGCCUGGUGUGGGGUCAAGGCCCCUGGCCAGGCUCAAAGGGGCCGGCUGUGUCCCUGAGGCCCCAGCUGGGGAAACUGAGGCUCAGAGUGGCCAGUGGGCAGUGCAGAGCUGGGCUCCCUCCCUGGUGCCCAGGGCCCCACGUGGGGCCAGUCCUCAGCUGACGCCACUCCUCCAGCCUGGGGCCUGGGGCCCGGGCCCGGCCAAGUGGAAACCCGAUCGGCUCCCCCACGUAGCUGCGGAGCCAGGCCCUCCUGGGCCAGAAAUCUCAGCCGCCCGCUGGGCUGGCCAGAAACCUGAGCCUGCCCUGCAGCCAGAGCUUCAGUGCUGCCAGGGAUACAGAGGGGGGACCAAGCCCGGGCUGCACUGUCCGCUGGAGACACAGUCCUGACCCGGUGAGACUGGUUCUGUGCGAGCCCAGAGAAGCCCCAGCCACGGGCGUGGGUUUGGCAGGUCAGGCAGGGAAGGAGUUCCCUGGCACAAGGGCCGGUGGGGGGGACGGGGGCAGCAGGCAGGGCCCUCCCCCCUCCAUUUCCCAGGUCACUAGGGAAUGACUGGGGCUGUCACAUUCACUCACCUGGGCUGCUGAGACCCAUAGCCCUGGGGACACACAGAUGGACCUGAGGACACACGUGCCCACAGCUGGGACCAAGAACACAGGGUGGGGCUUGGUCCAGACCCAGGCAGGACUCAGCAAUAAACGCACUGCACACAGUGGGGCCA
rnacentral:lncRNA from 1 species